ACGUACACUCCUGCGGGAGGCAGCAGUGGGGAAUAUCGCACAAUGGGCGCAAGCCUGAUGCAGCCAUGCCGCGUGUAUGAAGAAGGCCUUCGGGUUGUAAAGUACUUUCAGCGGGGAGGAAGGCAAUACGGUUAAUAACCGUGUUGAUUGACGUUACCCGCAGAAGAAGCACCGGCUAACUCCGUGCCAGCAGCCGCGGUAAUACGGAGGGUGCAAGCGUUAAUCGGAAUUACUGGGCGUAAAGCGCACGCAGGCGGUCUGUCAAGUCGGAUGUGAAAUCCCCGGGCUCAACCUGGGAACUGCAUUCGAAACGGGCAGGCUUGAGUCUUGUAGAGGGGGGUAGAAUUCCAGGUGUAGCGGUGAAAUGCGUAGAGAUCUGGAGGAAUACCGGUGGCGAAGGCGGCCCCCUGGACAAAGACUGACGCUCAGGUGCGAAAGCGUGGGGAGCGAACAGGAUUAGAAACCCCAGUAGUCCCAUGA
rnacentral:rRNA from 1 species